rnacentral:rRNA from 1 species
UACGUAGGGGGCGAGCGUUGUCCGGAUUUAUUGGGCGUAAAGAGCUCGUAGGCGGCCUCGUAAGUCGUACGGUGAAAUUCCAGGACUCAACUCUGGAACGCCCGUCGAUACUGCGAUGGCUUGAGGUAGGUAGGGGAGUGUGGAAUUCCUGGUGUAGCGGUGAAAUGCGCAGAUAUCAGGAGGAACACCAGUGGCGAAGGCGGCACUCUGGGCCUUACCUGACGCUGAGGAGCGAAAGCUAGGGG